UCCGGUGUGGCGCAAUUCGGUAGCGCGUCAGAUUGUUAAUCUGCGGGUUGCGGGUUCAAGUCCCGUCAUCGGAGCCA
rnacentral:tRNA from 1 species